AUGGCGCAUUUGACUUGAUUGGUUUGUUUAUAAAUGGCGGUGUAGUCGCGUAGUGUUUGAAAUAUUUUGUUCGUCCAUCACAAUUUCUGUAUAAUGGCGAAGGAAAUUGAAGUGGAGGAAGUUGAAAACUUAGAACUACUGUCUGUCAUCGGUUUUGAUGGUAAUAAAAUCUUGCUUUAGAGGAGUUUAAUUGCAACUGCUUAAUUUUUUUAUACAGCUGUACAAAUCAGAUUUGCUUAAGCAGCCUAGUUUUAAAUUUAAAGUUGAGUUUUAAAAAUCUACGCAAGGAGGCAUAAUAUAAACAAAAUGAGAGGCAUAACACCGAAUGGUCUGCUGCUACACCCGGAUAUGUGCCAUUUAAUUUAUCCCCUGGGCUCGAAGAUUGUCGUCCAGAACCGGGCGACCAAGCGGCAGGAGUUCCUCUGCGGGCACACCAACUUCAUUACUGCCCUCGACAUUUCGCCUGACGGCAAAAUGAUAGCUUCGGGCCAGCUUAACCACAUGGGUUUCGCUGCGAGUGUUAGACUCUGGGACUUUGAGAAACGCGAGGAGAUCAUGAAACAUGAGCUUCACAAGGUGCGAGUGGAAUCUCUAGCGUUCUCCUGCGACAGCAAGUUGUUGACGUCUCUUGGUGGACGCGAUGAUUCCUAUGUUAUUGUGUGGGACAUUGAAAACAACGAAGCUUUGUGCGGAAGUCUGUCGGUCACAGGGACGUCUGGCGAUGCGACAGUUCUGUGCAGAAGCUCGAAUAAACCUAAGUCGUUUUGUUCUGCGGGCAUGAACAACUUACGAGUGUGGACGAUACAUCCCGUGACCAGAAGUCUUUCGGCAAGUGAUGUUGCCAUGGGCAUGAUACGAAGAAUUGUUCUGUGUCUUGUGGUAGACAGCAGGGACGAGUACCUGUAUUGCGGCACCACGACAGGGGACAUAAUGAAGGUGAAAAUCAACUACAGCGACGGCGAGACAGCCAAGCACCCUGUGCUCGUGGGAUGUCUCGCCAAGUUCGUCAACAAGAAGAAGAUCAACACCAGUGAGCCAGCUGAAAACUUCAAGAAUGGUGUGACAGCCUUGCUGCUCCUGCCCAGCUCGGAAGGAGGCGACAACAUUGUGGUCGGAGCUGGCGACGGAACGGUGGAAGUAGUCAAGGAAGUGACUGUCAGCGUGCCGAGCACUGGUCUGCUGAGGAACCCUUCCGAGCCACACCUCAGAAAGGUGAAGACCACCAACGUCGGAUCCAAGGUGACGUCCUUGAGGCUCUGCGGAGACUCGCUGCUGGUGGGCACGGAGCUGUGCGAGAUGUACACCGUCCACACGGACAGUUUCCAAGGGAAACUGCUUGCCACCUGCCACACGAACGCCAUCUUCAGCGUCACCUUCCCGCACAAUUACCCAAAGAAGUUUUUAACCAGCAGCAAAAAUGACAUUCGAGUGUGGGAAACAGAAACUUCGCGGGAGCUUAUCCGUAUUACCGUACAAAAUUUCAGUUGCACAUGUGUGCGACUUACAUAUGAUGGCAAGUCCAUCGUCAGUGGCUGGAACGACGGAUCCAUCCGCGCCUUCACCCCGCAGACGGGCCGGCUCAUCUACUUGAUCCACAACGCUCACCGGAGGGGCAUCUCGGCCCUGGCCGUGACGAGGCAGGGGCAGCAGCACGUGGUGACGGGAGGCUGCGACGGCCAGGUGCAAGUGUGGCGUAUCUCGCCCACGUCCCAGACGCAAGUGGGCGUGCUGAAGCAGCACAAGGCACCCGUGUCGAGCCUGCACCUGGCCCACACCGACACUACGGUCGUGAGCGCCAGCACUGAUGGCACGUGCAUCAUCUGGGACAUUGUCCGCCUGACGAGGCUGCAGACUCUCUUCUCCAACACGCAGUUCAUGUACGCCUGCUACAACCCGUCGGGCACGCAGGUCAUUACCGUGGGCAGCAACCGCAAGAUCGGCUACUGGGAGGUGUUUGACGGCUCCCUGGUCCGCGAGGUCGAGGGAUCCACCUCGUCCAGCCUGAACUGCGUGGACGUGAGCUCUGACGGCCGGCUCAUCGUCACCGGGGGGAACGACCAGAUCGUGAAGAUGUGGAAGUACCUGGAAGGCGUGUGCACGCACGUGGGGUUGGGCCACGCCGGCAUCAUCACCUCCGUCUGCUUCUCCCCCGACGACCAGUUUGUGACGAGCGUGGGCUCCGACGGCGGCAUAUUCCGCUGGAAGAACCCCGUCUGGAAGGUGGAGGAGCCCGCCGCAGGGGACGCCGGCGUCAGCCCGCCGGCCGAGGUCUCGGCGCAGGAACCAGUGGAGCAGACGGCAGCCACCGAGCCGGUUGCCGCCGCCGACGCGGGCUGUCCGGAGUUGGCCGGCCCGGUCGGGGACGGUAACCUCGCGUCCAGAGACGAGAGGAAGAGCGCCGGAAGCUCGAGGUGUUCCAUCAAGUCCUCGUCCAGCGCGAAGAGCGUGGCCAAGUCGGACAGCGGCAAGAGCCAGGCUCAGCGAUGCAACUGCAAACAAUAAAUCCAUUCCACGUGAUUAAAAAAAAAAAUUUCUAGUCUUCUAAGCUGUACGUACAAAUUUUUCAUCAGCAUGUUUUUUAAAGUUUUUAUAAGUUUUUACAAAUGUACCGUGUAUGUGAUAAAAUGUCUAGUACGGUGUUCCGAUUUGUACAUCAUUUUUUGAUGGGUAAUAUAUUGAGGGUUUGUCUUUUUCUGUGUGGUUAUGUGUGAAAGAUACUUGGAUGUAUAAACAUAAUGCAUUUGGUAAACCUCAGAUUUACCUUGUGAAAACGAGAUGCAGUGAUGUGUAACAUCAAGAUGCCUAGAAAUGUAUGGCAGGAAAACUUAUAGAUUUGGUUGCAUGCUGUUUUCAACACAUUGAUGUGAUGCUCUAGAAGAUUUUUUUUUAACCUGUAGAUGGCAUAGGGUGUGUGGCUAACUUGUUAAGACACAUCUGGGUUUCUUCCUUUGGAGUUAUGUCACUAGCAGUGUGUUCCAAAUACUAAUUAAUGGACUUUUAUCUAAAUACCCAUAUCAGGAGUUUCCUCAACUAUUCCUGCCGAAAUGCUCCACAGAAUAUAGCAAGAACUAUAGUAUUGUCUGAACAUUCUCCAUGCCACUAAGUUAAAAACUUAGAGUUUACUUUGAUGUGCCGAAGACUGCAUGCAGCUAGCUACAUUCAAGUUUACUUAACAUUCACUUUUCAAGAAUUCUUUAUGCUAGAGAGUCCUUUAAAGACUUUACGGAAAUGACAUAAAAUAAUAGAUUAUGAUACAGUACUAAUGAUUCUAAAAAAUAUGUGGAGAAAUUUACUAAUACAGGUCAUUUUUAAUUCAGUAUGCAAAAUUGUAAUGGAUCAACUUUGUUUUUACUGGUGGUAGAGAAACAUUUAGGUAAAAGAUAUCAUGGAAGCUGGCCAGUAAGAAAUCAAAUGUUUGGAAUCUAGUAGUGUAGAAAUUUUUUUUUAUCAAUAAUGAGUUUUUUGUGGGAGCUAAGGUAUGGUUGUGAAGAGUUCAGGUGAAGUACAGUGUAAUAUUAAAUAAAAAUAAGUGUGUGACAGAAUAUAAGAAAAGAAAUAAGUGAGAUAAAUUAAGGAAGAAGAGCAAGUUUAUGCAGUUGGCCUAAAGAGAGAUGGUAUGAGGUGAAGAGUAUAUGUUAGGGACCAUGGAGUUAAAGCAAUUUAAAUGAUUUGGUAGAUGGCAUUUCAACGUCAAUGAAGAUGACGUGUGCCCGACGACAAGGUUUGCGUCAAACUCUUCCUUGCACCACAUCUCUGUCACUACGUACUAUCCCGUGCCUGCCCGAGGUCUCAACUAUGCUGGCGGCCAGCAGUCGGCAGUGAACCACUGGCAUUCGAGGCACGCAGAGGAACCGUGGACACCCGCUGCAGCCUGCCUCUCCCCGUGGGAACAUGUACAAGUGAUAUCACCACUGCUGAAGACUCUGAGUGGUGUACCGAAAAGCAUUUAAGUGGGUUUUUUUAUUAUUGUUUUUAGUAGGUAGAGUAAAGAUGUCUUUUUUGUCCUAUGCAUGAUGAUAGAACUGCAAUAGUAGCAGCACACAUGAGUUUUAUUUAUUUUUAUAUAUAUAUAUAUAUGAGAUACAAUAUGUCAAUCAUUCUAAUUGUACAUUCUAUAUUAAAUAUGGACAGAAGGUCACAAAUACUAAAUAGGGUAGACUGAAAGUAGAUAAAACUUUCUGUGUUGAGUGUAUACACAUAAACAUCCUUGUUUUAGUUUAUUUAAAAAACAAAUAAAAUAGUAUUAACGUAAUAAGGUUUAACUGAAGUACUACCCUCUUUUAUCGCAUAAUCGUCGCACCUAUAUUUUUUGGCCGUCAAAAUUGGGAUAAAAAAACUUCUGGCGCAAACGUCGAAUUAUGUUUUUGGUCCCGCUAUUAGAUGCCGAGCGCUUUGUGUAGGUGUCUUUACCGUAUCAAACUAUGUAUUUUAAAGUCAAAAUCUAAUGUUUAUUCGGACAUUACCACUUACUUAGUAUUUAAUAAACGGAAAUACGAAGUUGUCUGACUUGUAAAUUUUCUUUUAAAGACGUUUUUAAAAGUUAUUUCCUUUUUCUGAUUGUCUGCGUCGCCGCGGUGUACCGCUUUGUAAACAUGUAACCAGUGUUAGUUGGCAUCAUUCAUGUUUGGUUAUGUUGUUUCCCGUAUAGAGCGUGCGCACGUAGUCGAAUAUCGAUAUCUCGCCGAUUGCAUGCAACGCGGGCUCUGUCAGGUGCCGAGUUAACUACAUUUGACGGCCCGCACUCUUUCAUGGCAAGUUACGCGUUAGUUCACGUCAGAGGUUCAAGUGGCUUACGUUUGCGUCACAGUUUGGUUUUUCUAUUUAAAGUUGAAGAAAGGUUUUUGUUUAAUGAAUUAUUAAUAUAAAUUGUUUGGCGUGCUCUUGUAUACUCCACCUUUUUUAAAUAAAAACAAAACCUGUUCAUGGAAAGUAAGUUUAUGAAUAAUUUUACCUAAACAAAUUUUUUUUUUCCACAUAAUCGUCGCACCCCUUCUUUUCAAACUUGAUUUUAGAAUAAAAUGUGCGACGAUUAUACGAGAAAACAUGGUGUUGUGUACUUAUUUUUGAAUAAAGUAGUUUCAUAAAAUUUAGAUGCACAAAAUUUUAAAUGCAUAGUAGUUAACUGCAUUCUGCUGAUAACUUGCUGGAAAAUCAUUCAGGCUGUCUUGCAGCCUUGCAGCCUUGCAGCUAGAAUGUUACAGAGUAUUUAAUAUUGUUUUUUAAUAUUUUGUUUUAUUUUAAAACGAUGUUUGAAUUGUUUAUUUUGUUGUUUAAAUUGAUUACAGUGUAUUAUCGCAGUUAAUUUAGGAUCUAAAAAUUUUGAGAAAAAAUCUCGCAAAUGUGGCAUGAUGUUUUUGGUCCUGCUGUUAGAUUCUUGGCUCUGUGUCUAGGUUAUAAACAUGACAGGAUAAAGCACGGGUGAACAACAUUUGGUUUUCAAGUUGCUUUCGGACACUUUUUUAGUUAUGAUGGGAAAAUAUAGUAUUACAAUUAAAAUGAACUGCCAUAAUAUGGUCAAUGUUUUAAGUCUAGCCAUUUGCUCAAUAUAUGUUAUUUUUCCCAUGUAAAAUGCAGACAAAGUUUUUUUCCAUAUAAAAUUAUGUAUUUUAAAGUUUAAAUCUAUAAUUAGUUAUGCUUUCCAGCUCAUGUUAGGUUUACAGUUUUUUCUCUAUUUGAUAAAGUAAAUAAGUCUUUGUUGCAUCCUUUUUUUAUACUUGCAAUAUGUAUUGUUUUUGAUUGUUUCAAAUGUGAUGUUAAUCUAAAAUGUUUAAAGAUUAUGCAAUGAAACACUGUGGUAAAGACUAAAGAGAAAUGAUUCUAACAUGUGUGGACAGCCAAGCAUUGAAUGUUUGUUUUCAUUAAGAAUGUUAGGUGACCCUUGAGUACUUUUUGAUGAACAUAAAAAAAAUUUUUUGUGAAACAUGUAACAAACAACUUGUA